rnacentral:rRNA from 1 species
AUUGCGUUUCAAAUUUUUAUUUGAGGACCAGGUUUUGGUUUGGGUAGUGGUCCUACGAUGACUGUGAACUGUCAUGUCUUCGGAUGUGCGACUAUCGGUCUAGGAUCGCAUCUCAGCCCCUGGGACUCUUUUGAACGCAACGGACGUGAUUGCAACCCCUUGUUGAGAUUAGAGGAGUCUCGAUAUUCAUUGGCCAAACUUACCGCUUCGAGCUUGCUCGUGCAGUUUUGUUAGCCGGUGGAUAAACUCGGGGGACUGCUGACUAUAACCAUUUCUCAAAACAGAGGAAGGUUGCGGCAAUAACAGGUCUGUGAUGCCCUCAGAUGU